AACGAACGCUGGCGGCAGGCCUAACACAUGCAAGUCGAGCGCCCCGCAAGGGGAGCGGCGGACGGGUGAGUAACGCGUGGGAACGUACCCUUUGCUACGGAAUAGCCUCGGGAAACUGGGAGUAAUACCGUAUGUGUCCUUCGGGAGAAAGAUUUAUCGGCAAGGGAUCGGCCCGCGUUGGAUUAGGUAGUGGGUGGGGUAAUGGCCUACCAAGCCGACGACCCAUAGCUGGUUUGAGAGGAUGAUCAGCCACACUGGGACUGAGACACGGCCCAGACUCCUACGGGAGGCAGCAGUGGGGAAUCUUAGACAAUGGGCGCAAGCCUGAUCGAGCCAUGCCGCGUGAGCGAUGAAGGCCUUAGGGUUGUAAAGCUCUUUCAGGGGGGAAGAUAAUGACUGUACCCCCAGAAGAAGCCCCGGCUAACUCCGUG
rnacentral:rRNA from 1 species